rnacentral:lncRNA from 1 species
UUGGGUGUAUAUCUCUCUCAAGCCUCUUGAAUUUGAAUAAACAAAUUUGAUCAACCAAAGUUGUUGCCAACUUCUGGAACCACAUCCUCAAUCUAAACAAUAAUUCGCUAUAUAAGAAAAUACUAAUAAUUAAGCUUAUAUAAUAAAUUUAAAUUAUCAGGGUGUUACAAAUAAUAUCUCUGCGAGGCAUUUUCACAAACAUCUUCUGCGCAGUUCUCCAAAUUUCUGCACUUCAUUUUAAUGACAACUCUUUGCUAAUAAUAUCUCUGCGAGGCAUUUUCACAAACACCUUCUGCGCAGUUCUCCAAAUACAUUGACCAACGCAUACAUAUCUUGUUUAUUGUUCUUUUUCUACAAAGCAUUGGUUUUGAUUGAAUAAUACAAACACGUUUCACAUUCUAAUCUCUUAUUACUACUCGAAAUCAAUCACACAAACCACCAUCAAACCUUGAUGGGAAUCGCCCAAAGAGGGGUUUUCUUCUGCAGCGCCAGCCCAAACACAUCCUCUCUCUGCAACCUUUUGCUUUCAUUCCCUCUCUNNNNNN